rnacentral:rRNA from 1 species
AUUGAACGCUGGCGGCAGGCCUAACACAUGCAAGUCGAGCGGAGCGGCGGGCGGGUGAGUAAUGCCUAGGAAUCUGCCUGGUAGCGGGGGAUAACGACCGGAAACGGGAGCUAAUACCGCAUACUAUCAGAUGAGUCUAGGCCGGAUUAGCUAGUUGGUGGGGUAAAGGCCUACCAAGGCGACGAACCGUAACUGGUCUGAGAGGAUGAUCAGUCACACUGGAACUGAGACACGGUCCAGACUCCUACGGGAGGCAGCAGUGGGGAAUAUUGGACAAUGGGCGAAAGCCUGAGCCAGCCAUGCCGCGUGUGUGAAGAAGGUCUUCGGUUUGUAAAGCACUUUAAGUUGGGAGGCGUUACCAGCAGAAUAAGCACCGGCUAACUUCGUGCCAGCCGCCGCGGUAAUAC